UACAGAGGGUGCGAGCGUUACUCGGAAUUACUGGGCGUAAAGCGCGCGUAGGCGGCUUUGCAAGUCGGGUGUGAAAUCCUCAGGCUUAACCUGGGAACUGCAUUCGAGACUGCAUUGCUAGAGUAUGGGAGAGGGAAGUGGAAUUUCCGGUGUAGCGGUGAAAUGCGUAGAUAUCGGAAGGAACAUCAGUGGCGAAAGCGACUUCCUGGACCAAUACUGACGCUCAUGUGCGAAAGCGUGGGGAGCAAACAGG
rnacentral:rRNA from 1 species